rnacentral:rRNA from 1 species
UACGUAGGGGGCAAGCGUUGUCCGGAUUUAUUGGGCGUAAAGAGCGUGUAGGCGGCUAGGUAGGUCCGUUGUGAAAACUCGAGGCUCAACCUCGAGACGUCGAUGGAAACCAUCUGGCUAGAGUCCGGAAGAGGAGAGUGGAAUUCCUGGUGUAGCGGUGAAAUGCGCAGAUAUCAGGAAGAACACCCGUGGCGAAGGCGGCUCUCUGGUACGUGACUGACGCUGAGACGCGAAAAGCGUGGGGGAGCGAACAGG